rnacentral:rRNA from 1 species
UACGAAGGGGACUAGCGUUGUUCGGAAUUACUGGGCGUAAAGCGCACGUAGGCGGAUUGCUAAGUCAGGGGUGAAAUCCCGGGGCUCAACCUCGGAACUGCCUUUGAUACUGACAAUCUCGAGUCCGAUAGAGGUGGGUGGAAUUCCUAGUGUAGAGGUGAAAUUCGUAGAUAUUAGGAAGAACACCGGUGGCGAAGGCGGCCCACUGGAUCGGUACUGACGCUGAGGAGCGAAAGCGUGGGGAGCGAACAGG